GACACACUUGCCAUUUUGGGGACCUUUUUCACCAUCCUAUGGGGACUCCCUUUGCCCUUCUCCUGUGUAAGCUCCACUUUUUAACAAUUUCCAUGAAUGUCUCCUGCUGCGUUUAUGUCCUCAUUUUGGUAGAGCACUUUAUCCAACAACCUCCUGAAAGGGGGUGCAUGAGCCAGGUCUGCACUUCUGUUUGAAGCUCCUCAACAGUGGAAGUUGGGAGGGAGGGAUUUCUAGCCAGAAGAAAUAACAUGAACGAAGAAAUAAAACAACAGUGAUGAAAGCGUCAAAGGAAUCCUUCAAAAUGGCUUGAUGUGUUGGGAUUGAAAACCUGCCACUUGAGGUUGCAACCCAGGUGACCCUAAUUUCCUGCCAAGUUGAGUACAAGAUCUUCUUUUAGCAUUGGAAGUAUCAGUUUUUGGGACUUCCUACUAUAGGAUUUAUACCAGUGGCCCAGUUCUCAGUCCGCUGGACUUAAACGGAGAGUAACACCCUGCCCUGCUUCUCAGGCCUUCAGACUCAGACUAAAUCUUACCACUGAUUUCCUGGUUUUUCAGCUUGCAGAUGACGCGUCUAGGAUUUCUCAACCUCUAUAAUUGCGUAAGUGAAUUCCCA
rnacentral:lncRNA from 1 species